GUCACACGAUCGCUUUGCUUAGUGGCAUGCUGUGAUUUGUGGCUAGUGGGAAAGCACCAUGACAGACAGUGCUGUUGCACACAGCAUGAAGAUAAAAUAAAUUAUGCUGUGACUCAUAAAAAUCAAAAUCAAAAAAAACCUUCCUGCCCAGCAUAACCUGCAAUCAUAACACAGCAUGUUAAUGCCCUGCUUAAAAUAAAACAGCCACAGACUGGGGACACUUUUUUCUUUUUAAUUUUUUGUUUUGUUUUGUUUUUUUUCAGGAUUUUUUGCAAUGCUUAAUUCCCUCUUCUCCCUGGGUAUUGCAGAUGUCUCCAGGCACCAGGGGACACGAUGAAGGCAUGCACUGCAGAAAUGGCACUGUGAUGAUAUCCCAGAUUGCCAUUUGGACCUGGAUCUAGGGCUGCAGCCCUACCAGAAGGAGGAAGAGGUGUGUUAACUGCACCAUCUGAGGAGAAGAGGAAGCAGAGAUGAGCAGAGGGAGCAGAGAGAACAAGCUCAGUGUGAGAUGCUGGCCUCAACACUUGACCGAUAUAAGCUGCUAUCAAAGCCAGAUUGUCAAAGGAUGGGACAUUAAUGAUUAGAGAUUAACUAGAAAAGAUAUAUCUGAAACAUGCCUGGUAGGAAACAAGAUUGUGUCAUCAUUGUCUGAGUACACUUAUCUGUCUUUUUUUUUGCUUUUACUUACACAUAUUCUUGACACAAGGGAACAUGCAAAAGUUAUUUUGACUGAGAUAAAAAAUACUUCAAGCCAAGUUCAACCCUAGUUAAUUCUCCAUCUCUUGGAAAAACAUGUUUGAGUGGUUUCAAUGAUGAUUUGGGGGAAUGUUGAGACUUUUUUGUCUCACCCUAAAAUUACAUGGUCUGGAAAACAACACUAAAAAAAGGAAUACAUAUAUCUCCAAUUGCUUUUCAGACAUCACAUACUGCAAUAGCCUCCAGUUUUGGUAACACAGAAUGAGUUUCUGUAAAUCAUGAGGAGCAAGGUGACAUUGAAGUCUAGCAAGGUAGCAAAAAACAAGGUUCCUCUGCAGAGGUGGUGCCCCUGCACAUCACGGAUCAUUUGGCAGAACAUGCAGGUGAAAUGGCAUCCAUCUCUGGCUUGAGGGUGCAGCUCUGAAAGACAACUUUAAUUUCCAACACCCGCCUUAAAUUGCUAUUGAAUUUGGCACAAAUGAAGUAGGGCAUCAGGAGCUUAUUAAAGAUGCAUCAUUGUAGCUAGUACAGCAAUUCCUUUAUAAAAUACAUCUUUAUAAGAAAGACAUAUUGCUGCUUUUUUUUUUUUUUUUUUUUUUUUUUUUUUUUUUUUAAUCCUCUAUUCUAAGCAGUAGAAAAGGAAGAUCUGCAAUGAAAUGAAAAAGUCCAUGUUUGGAUGGCAAGUCAGACAAGGCUAGACUUUUUCACUGACAGGAGCCUUAAAAAGACCCUGGGUUCGUGUUUGGAGAAAUCCUUCAGAAUUUUAACAUCUCACUUGUGAAAUGACAAUACCCACAAGUUUAUCAUUGUCAGAAGCUAUUAGCAAGUACAAAUAUUCUCCAGAUGAAAAGCCUUUAUAUUUUCUCUUAAAAACUGCUGAUGGUUUUGUAUUUAUAGUGUUCAUAUUUGUGUGUUGAUUAGCAACACAUUUCCAGCUGCACUGAAAAUAUCUUUACAAUAUAGGGAGGAGGGCAACUUCAAGGCAGCAUUACCAGCUAGGAAAGCAUAAUUAUAUUUCACUCACUCAAGCUCCCCCUUCCACCCCCAAAUUAUGUGAGGCUCAUCCCAUUCUGUUGCCAAUUCCUUCCUUAGCAUCACUUACCAAGGCCAACUCACAUUCUACCACCAAGUUCCCCUCUUAGAAAGCUUCCUACUUGCAAGCAAAAACCAGAGCAAAGAUUAGUACUAACUCAACUCCCUGUUUCUGAUAUAUCACAAUCAUCUCCCACUCAUUAGAGUGACUGUCUCCAGUUUUGUAUAAAAGAAGGCAUUCUUAUCUCUGGAAAAAAAAAUAGUUUCUCCAAUUCAUGGUGUUUAUUCUGUCAUAUAUUUAUUUUUACACUGAUUUGUUACAGUGGAUAGCAAAUCCUUGCCCAAUCCCUAUCUAUAUCUGUCACUAAUCAGAUUAACUUGCAAAACUAUCACCUAACUGGACAAACACAUAUUAUUCUCCUGAUUAGCCUCCAGCCUAGAAUACAUCACUGCUGUCACUCUGGUAUUCCUAUCUCGUGGCCAGCGAUUCCUUACAUGGAAUCAGAUAAUCUAUUCAAAUAGUCCUGUAUUCUCCUGGAAGCUGACAGCAUAAAUAUAAUAAAGUUUAUUGUCAUCCUCCUGCU